UAUUAUGUAUUAACUCAAAACAACAUUCCCAAGCAUGUCCAUCCAUCUUAUUUUUUAGACCUGGUUGUUUCCAAAAAUCAGAUCCACCCUCCAAGAAUCAAGGUGUGAUAUUAUUAAGGGUAUUCAAAAUUUAUUGUCAUCUUUGCAAUGAGCAUUUCUCAAAUAGAAAUUCCAUCAAAUGAUUUGGGCAGCGGUGGAGUCAUCAUUUAGCUUCCCAGGAAAACUACCUUUUGGGAGAGGACUCACUUUUAUGGCAUUUUAGUAUCGUUUUUAAUCAUUCACUGUACUUUCUAUUUGUAUAUGCACUUUCAAUAGAACACAUAUUAUUUACACACACAUACGUACAUACAAAUGCUCCGUUUUUAGCAUAUGUCAUAAAUCUCAACACUUUCCUACUUAGGGCACCAGUGGGAUUCCCAGGGCUGGGGGCUGACAGGAUGCUCAGUAAUCAAUUAUCAUUUUCUCCCCUUUUUUCAGAAUCCUAGGGAAUCGGGUGGCUGAGCUGGAAAAAAAAUUAAGAACUCUGGAAGUUUCUGGUUUAUGGAGUCUUCCAGGCCUGAGCUACAAUGUUUCAGUAGGAUUUGG
rnacentral:sRNA from 1 species